UCCGAGUUGACCCCGGCAGUCUCUCACGAGUCCCCACCAUUACGUGCUGGCAACAUGAGACAAGGGUUGCGCUCGUUGCGGGACUUAACCCAACAUCUCACGACACGAGCUGACGACAGCCAUGCACCACCUGCACACAGACCACAAGGGAAUACCUAUCUCUAGGCACGUCCUGUGCAUGUCAAACCCAGGUAAGGUGGGGAUGACGUAACACGCAAUAACA
rnacentral:misc_RNA from 1 species